AUUGUCUCUGUCGCCACCACCACCGUCGCCGCCGUCUUUGUCGUUUCCUUCAUCGUCAUUGGCCGCGCCUUGGUUACCGCGACACAAAGCAUCGCGCAAGGUGUGUUGGACGGUGUUGGCAUGUGCGUCCAUAUCGGACGCCGCAUCGUCGUUUGGAGGCCCGUGAUCGUUUGUCGCCGCAAUGUCGCCCGCCGUUGGGCGCCACGCGCGCGGUUUGCCGCUGUCCUUCGUGCCUUUGGCCGAGGCCUUGCCUUCUUCCCACUCGACGCGACCGAGAUUCAAGGCACCAGGGGCAAAGGAGACCACGCGCGUGAGGUGUCCCCAACAGUCGGGCGUCACGCACCGCACGCGCAUAGGUCCUCCUGCAAGGCCUAGUGGCGCCGGCAGCGUCCCACCAGCUGCGCGCCAGCAUGCACGAUGGAAGAGGGCACAGCAUCCUCGGUCGCAGUGGACCCAUACAUGCGUGGCGGAUUCGGUGUCGACCCGACGGCACGGACUCGGGCAUCGGUGACGCCCGCACCGCGGGCCGCUGACGAAAGAACCCGUGCUUGCCGACUCUGGCACAUCACCUCCCCCUUGUAUCUCGGACAGGUGGAUCGGUCCGCGCACACGGACGCGCGGUGCUCUCUGCGCCGUUGUCGUCGUUUUUGGUGUCGUCGUCGGCUUAACGAUCGACGCGGCCAAAUCGUGCAUGGGUGCCGGCGCAGCUGUGCCUGGCGUCCGUGCUGCGACAAUGGCAGAGACGACGCGGCGCACGCUCUGUCGCAACGGCACAGAUCGUCUCGUUGCAAUUCCGCGGGAUGGGCUGAACGCGUCGUCGCCUUUGGUGCCGUCGUCAUAGGCGGGCGGCCACAGGCGCCUCGUGUCGUUCCACACGCCGACACACGAGGAACAACGCGCCUUGCCUCCGGUGCAUUCGUCGCACACCAGCGACAGGGAGCCGUUGCGUCCCACGCUAAAGGCACCGUCAAUCUUGGGCCUCUUGGUACGUAUCCACCACCGCACGCCGCUCGGCGGUGCUAUACCGGUAGGCGUGCAACGUUGCGGGAACUGAGGGUGUUGCGCGAUGGCGUCGAUAAACUCGUUGAGGUCGUCGCCGGCGGCGUGCGCCGCUGCCACCAUGAGGUCGCGCGGUGGGCUCAUGCGUGCGUUUUCGCGAUGGCCUGCACGUCGGCGAGCGUCGGCCUCUGACGAAUCACCGUUGGCCAGAGGCGUAUCACAGGAGUCGCCAAUGAUAUCGUCAUCGUUGCUCUCGCCCUCGUCACUGUCAUCCGUGCCAUCGUCCUUUUCAUCAUCAUCAUCACUGCCGCUGCUGCAACAGUCGCUGCCGUCGUCACGAAACUGGACCGACACCCAGUCGGUGCGAGGCCUGCCGGGCCACGCGGCAACGACGACGAUGGCGUCGUAAACGAGCCCGCCCGCGGACCUCAUGGACUGCCCCUCCAACGAUGGACACAGAUCAAAGGCCGACACGAUGCGGGCGCCCUUGGGCACGGCGGGCGCGAUGAGGCCCUGACUGGCCGCGGCCAGCGCGAUCGCGCAGAGCGAGAACGACGCCCACCCCGAUCUGUAGCAGCCGUAGAUUUCUGCGACAAUGUAGCGCGUCGACUCUUGGCGGCGCGGUGCCUUGGACCUCUUUGGCGGCGCCGGAUAGCGCGCCCCCGUCAUGAUCCUGUACUUGAUCGCGUGCAUCGUGCCAACAAGGAAAAAAGAGAGAAAAAAACAGAGAUGCACGAGACAAGAGGCAGAAAUCUUUUUUUCCCGAUGGGCGCGCGGGGCCACGACCAACAUCAACAAAAACGGAGGCCGUAGCGUCGCGGGCGAAAAGACACUGGUGGAAAGGCAAAAAAAGAGAGCCUCAUCCCGGCAAAAAAGAAGACGUCGUUUGUUUGCGACACGUCGUCAACGCCUCUCUGUGCGGCGGUGUUGCCCUGUGGCAUGUGCGGCGCUAGGCAGUACACUAGUUGGUCGCCGCAUUUCUUUUAAAAAAAAAUACUCGAUCACGCCACAAGGCAAUACCAUAUGCGUUGGCGUGUGUGCGCCGCAUGCCAUCUCUCGUCUCUUUCUUGGCAAGGCGUCUCAACGUUUUUGUCCCCUUUCUCUGCAUGAUGCAUUCACGGCGCUCGCGGAUUUCAGCGAUCGGGUUUAGUGGCGCAACAAUUCCUGUGCAUCCGGUGGUCGACCGGAUGCGAUUCGGUCGACGCCGCAAGAGAGGCCAGGUGAACGUGCGCAUGCCUUGCGUCGUGGGCAUGGCGCGUAAACGGCACGCCUCCGGCACGGUAUCCGAAAUCCCCCAAUGACAUCCAUCCCCCAAACUCGCAGCAAGCGGACGACAACGACGACAAUAAAGCGACCUGUUCCAUUGGUGUGCGUCAUC
rnacentral:lncRNA from 1 species